GUUAAUUCCGUUAACGAACGAGACCCCUGCCUGCUAAAUAAUCCGCCGAAUGCUUUUUGCAUUGGGUAGGGUUUCUUAGAGGGACGUCCAAGAUCAACUUGGAGGAGGAUAGGGGCAAUAACAGGUCUGUGAUGCCCUUAGAUGUCCUGGGCCGCACGCGCGCUACACUGAUGCAUUCAACGAGUUUAUAACCUUGGCCGAGAGGCCUGGGCAAUCUUUUGAAUGUGCAUCGUGAUAGGGAUAGAUUAUUGCAAUUAUUAAUCUUGAACAAGG
rnacentral:rRNA from 1 species